AAAGCCAUCACAAAGAUUGUCAUGCAGGGAGGAGAUGCUGAUACCAAUGCCUCUGUUGCUGGAGCUCUUCUGGGGUGUAAGCUGGGACUCGAGGCCAUUCCUCAGACAUGGACGGAGAAUCUUAAACAUAAAGAGUGGCUCGACCAAAAAAUGGACAGGUACUUUUCAAUGAUCAAUGAGGGCAAUGUUGGGACAGAGGAAAAACCAAGUUCAUAAAGUAGAAUAUUGGAUGUUAGUGUUAGUGCGAUAUUUGGGAUCAGUGCAAUAUUGGAUAUCAGUGCAGUAUUGAACAUCAGUGCAAUAUUGGACAUCAGUGCAAUUUUGGACAUGUCUCUAUUUGUUUUUUUUUUCUUGGAGACGAAGACUGGAUUGUUCAACAAAGUACAGGUGAUCAUGUUCAUGAUUGGACUCUUAUUUCUUUAGUGUGAGAUGUGUAAUUUAAUGUAUAUUGCCAAUUUAAAGCCACGGCUAAUUUUCAUGUUUUUUAUUAUCUACUUUUUUUAUUUAUAAGCGAAAGGU